rnacentral:rRNA from 1 species
GAUGAACGCUGGCGGCGUGCCUAAUACAUGCAAGUCGAGCGAACAGACGAGGAGCUUGCUCCUCUGACGUUAGAGGCGGACGGGUGAGUAACACGUGGAUAACCUACCUAUAAGAAUGGGAUAACUUCGGGAAACCGGGGCUAAUAACGGAUAAUAUAUUGAACCGCAUGGUUCAAUAGUGAAAGAAGGUAUUGCUGUCACUUAUAGAUGGAUCCGCGGCGCAUUAGCUAGUUGGUAAGGUAACGGCUUACCAAGGCGACGAUGCGUAGCCGACCUGAGAGGGUGAUCGGCCACACGGGAUCUGAGACACGGUCCAGACUCCUACGGGGGGCAGCAGUAGGGAAUCUUCCGCAAUGGGCGAAAGCCUGACGUAGCAACGCCGCGUGAGUGAUGAUGGUCUUCUGAUCGUAAAACUCUGUUAUUCGGGAAGAUCAAAUGUGUAAGUAACUAUGCACAUCUUGACGGUACCUAAUCAGAAAGCCACGGCUAACUACGUG